rnacentral:rRNA from 1 species
CUGGUUAGUACAUGGAUGGGAGACCGCCUGGGAAUACCAG